rnacentral:rRNA from 1 species
UACGAAGGGGGCUAGCGUUGCUCGGAAUCACUGGGCGUAAAGCGCACGUAGGCGGCUUUGUAAGUUAGAGGUGAAAGCCCGGGGCUCAACUCCGGAAUUGCCUUUAAGACUGCAUCGCUAGAAUUGUGGAGAGGUAAGUGGAAUUCCGAGUGUAGAGGUGAAAUGCGUAGAUAUCUGGAGGAACACCGGUGGCGAAGGCGGCAUCCUGGACCAACACUGACGCUGAGUGAGCGAAAGCCAGGGGAGCAAACGGG